UCAGGAUCAACUCAAUGGCAACAACAACAGAUUCUAAUGUGCUCAUAUUAAGAUUCCCAGCAGGACACCUUAAAUCAUUUUUGGCAAAAGGAUGUGGAUCUUAGAAAUGCUGUGGAUGGAGAAAAAGGAAAUAAGCUCCC
rnacentral:lncRNA from 1 species